CAAAUCGCUCGAGCCGCCUCCUAGCGAAGCAGUGGGACUCCGAACAUCGGUGUAUAGCUUGUAAAAACUUGUCCCUCCAACUCCGAACCUCCCGCAGGAUCCCUGUCAGUCGCCAGGUCGUCCUAGCUUAUGUGCACUGGAACAAGACAUGGUCCACCCCUCAUGUCUCUUUUUGAAAUGGUAUUUUUUCUCUAACAUAGAUGGUUUGAAUAUAUUUACUAAAAUUAAAAAAUAAUAAGUUUCAGAACGCUCUAAGUAGUUCGUUUUCUACAAUCCAUAGAAUAUUUUUGGAGUGAUUGGCCA
rnacentral:lncRNA from 1 species